rnacentral:lncRNA from 1 species
UGAAGUGAAGUGAGGUACUUUUCGUUCUAAGAACCAAGUUUUUGACGUAUUGACGGGGAGUUAAUAGUCAUCGCACCGUGAAGAAGAGGAAAGACCCAAGACCUAAUACCUAAGAUCCAAGACCGGCGAAAGGUUUAGAAGUACAAAGACCACUGGAGGUGCAACGACUUUGAGGAAGUAACAAGGUAGUUACGUUCCAAGACGAGUCUUGUAAUUUACAUUUAUAGUGAGGAGGUAACGAAGAGUUACGCUCCAAGAUAUAUAUUUGUAAAAGCUUCUCCGCCUACUGUAAAGGAGU